GAUCCGUAGGCUGCAACUCGCCUACACGAAGUUGGAAUUGCUAGUAAUCGCGAAUCAGAAUGUCGCGGUGAAUACGUUCCCGGGCCUUGUACACACCGCCCGUCACACCAUGAGAGUCGAUAACACCCGAAGCCUGUGAGCUAACCGCAAGGGGGCAGCAGUCGAAGGUGGGGUUGAUGAUUGGGGUGAAGUCGUAACAAGGUAGC
rnacentral:rRNA from 1 species